CAUGAGCCAGAUCCGCAAGUUGGAUGAAGACGCCUCCCCUAACGAGGAGAAGGGGGACGUCCCCAAAGACACAUUGGAUGACCUGUUCCCCAAUGAGGAUGAGCAGAGCCCAGCCCCUAGCCCAGGAGGAGGGGAUGUGUCUGGUCAGCAUGGGGGCUACGAGAUCCCGGCCCGGCUCCGCACCCUGCACAACCUGGUGAUCCAAUACGCCUCACAGGGCCGCUACGAGGUAGCUGUGCCACUCUGCAAGCAGGCACUCGAAGACCUGGAGAAGACGUCAGGCCACGACCACCCUGACGUUGCCACCAUGCUGAACAUCCUGGCACUGGUCUAUCGGUGAGGACUCUCUGGGAUGCCCAAA
rnacentral:sRNA from 1 species